rnacentral:lncRNA from 1 species
CCAGUCCCAGUCAGGCCCUAUUGCCAAUCAACUGACCCACAGGAGUUUAUCGGGGAAGCCUCUAGAGGAAGUCCUAGCCAAGAAACUGGGGAAAGUCACUAUUGCUGCACUCCAGACACAAGAGACAGUCCCUCUGGACAGAAAAAGAGAAAGCCGCCUUUUUGGCUUUAAAGAAAACCUUAGUGUCAGCACCAGCCCUGGCCCUACCUGAUCUCACCAAGCCUUUUUGGUUGUCUGUGGCUGAACAAGGGGGCAUAGGCAAAGGAGUGCUAGCUCAGGCAUUAGGGCCUUGAAACAGACCUGUGGCCUACUGUCUAAAAGACUUGAUCCUGUGGCAAGUGGAUGGUCUACCCAUUUGAGGGCAGUUGUAGCCACCACCCUCCUGGUCAAGGAGGCAGAUAUGCUCAGCCUGGGAUGGGACCUGGUCAUCACCGCACCCCAUGUGGUGGAAACAUUGCUGAGAGGAGCUCCAGAAUGAUGGCUCUCCAACACCUGCCUGACUCAGUACCAGGCCGUUGCUGUAUGCUUCAUGCAUCAAAUUCACCUGAGAAAUGACCCUCAAUCUGGCCACCUUACUCCUGGACUCCGACUCAUACACAUGCCCCUCCAUGACUGUCUGGACACUCUGACAACUUCCACCACCAACAGCCCAGAUCUGACUGAUGUUGCCCUGCAAAGCCCAGAUGAGUCCUUCUUCACUGAUGAAAACAGCUUCAUGGAAGACUGAAUCAGUCUCUUCAAGCCUUACAGAUUCUUCAGAGUGAGAUCCAGGCUACAAAACAACAGGCUUGAGAAAAAAAACCUUUGCAAUGUUCCAGCCCCAUGGUUUCAAGCCAGGAGACCUGGUCCUGAUAUGCUUGGUUUGCUUGCACCGAGGACUUGACUAAAUACAUUCCCAAAUCAAUCUUGGCUACCCAAUCUGCCACUUUAUUUUGUGUCACUGUGUAUGUUGUUCCACAAGUCUUGUAUUAUAAUAAAAGAGGGGGCUGCAAACAUCUGGGAUUAACCACUGAACACUACAGGAGUAAACGAGCUGCCCCCAUUUUAGUGCCCAUUCUGGUGGGAUUAGGAAUAGCUGGGUCAGUGGCUAGUGGAACUUCCUCCCUGAUCCUUCAGGACACAAAUUUUAAAAGCCCUAAGCCACCAAGUAGCCAGAGAUUUGGGUCACCU